UAUUGACGGAAUAGGGGUCUCCCUUCAUGUAAUAAAUUUAAUUAUAGUUUCCUUUUAUUUUCAGUAAAUAUUCCAGUUCAUGAAGUAUCAAGAGAAGAAAAGUCAAAAGUAUUUGACCUGAGGGUGGGCAGCAUGAUUUUCACACCAGCAAAGAAUUCAAUAACGAUUUUGAGAAUUAUGAUGACAUGGACUAUGGAUGGGACAGUUCCGAUGGACCUUCAGGAGCACAUUCGGAAUCGCAUUCCUCUUUUCAUGAGGAUGAGGGAAUAAACCACGACCAGUUUGACAACUCACUUGCCUCUGAUUUUCGAUACAUAUUGUCGCAAAGCAUACCCAUCGGGCGGCAAGUAACGUACGACACUUCCAACAACAAUGGAUACAUGCUUUCAAAUGACGUGAUUGGCGCUGUGCAGGAUUUGAUGGAUGACCACUCAGGACUUCAAAUGACGUUUGCUUGCCAGCCGAAAAUCGGCAAAUAUUUGUGCAAAAUUCAAUGUGUGAAGCAAGAUGAGGCGAUGACCGGAAGUUGCGAAACCGGAUACUGCAGCUGCAUGCUCAAAGAAGAGCAUAAACUGCGGAAGAAGAUGAACAAACGUUUUUUGGCUGCAAUGAAAGGUUUCGACACGGAUUGCGGUGAUCGGAAGAAAGCGAAACAAUGUAAGCGAUUUUGCAAGGCUCUAACGCCUGACAAGUCCUUCACUGGCCUUUGCGCGAACAACUUCUGCAAGUGCGUCACAUACCCAACGACCCCGGAGAAAAAGAAGAACGCCUGCGAGAAAGCCAUCAAAAACCUGAAGAAGAUCGAGGAUCAAGCCUUGCGACACUUGGGAGUCCAGCCAGAACCUCUCAGCGGCGCCGCGGAGAAAAAUGCCAGCCUGGCCGCCGACGAAGCCAUUCAAAAGUUAAAGGCCAAUAACUCGAUAGACGACUGCACAGAGGAGGACAUCCAGAAUUUGAGGGGUGUCAUCGCGAGCCUGGCCCAAGGCCUCAACUUAGCCCGAUCUCACAGUCAAACAUCAGGCUCAUCUCACGGCGAAAAAAAUGAGUCUGAAUCCACGAUAUACACAGCCUCUCCAUCGUCACCCAGAUCAGUAUCAAAGCAUGAGGAGAGUCAUUUUUCAAGAACCCGCCGAGGUGGUCUUGAAUCUCCAAGGCCUCCAUCCUCAAAAUCAGACUCGUCCAUCCACGAGGAAAUUCAGGUAUCAAGAACAAACCGACCCGCAUCACAUGAAUCGGGCUCAUCAUUCCACGAAGAGAGUCGGGCAUCAGGAACAAGCGGAGGAGGACAAGAUAUUUUACGACUCACGUCGCCCAAAUCAGGUUCGGCAUUCUUCGAAGAAAGUUACACAUCAAGAACAAACCGAGAUGGUAACGAAUCUCCACGACCUCCGAAAACGCCAAGAUCAGGUUCGAAGUUAAUUGAGGAAAUUCACGUGUCAAGAAGCGAACCUCCACGACCCGUAUCUCCAAAAUCAGGUUUGUCAUUCUUCGAGGGGAGAACCGUUUCAAGAACCAACCAAGACGGCAACGAAUUUCCACGACCUGCAGCCUCAAGAUCGCCCAAAUCAGGCUCGUCAUUCUACGAGGAGAGCCACGUAACGAGAACAAUCAGAAAUGGAAACGAGUCUCCAAGAACUCGAUCCGUGCGUGUCGUCACCACGACACCACCAAGAUCAGGUUCCUCGCACUUCGAGGAGAGCCACUCGACUGAAUCUCCAGGACUUCGAUCCGUCUCCUCAACACCUGGAUCAGGUUUGGAGGAGAGUCGGAUUUCAAGAACACACAGAAAUGGAGUCGAAUCUUCCGGUCGAUCGGCUCAGGCUCUGCCUUUGACGUCAUCCAAGUCGGGUUCCUCAUAUUACGUGGAGAGUAGAUCAUCCGGAACGCUUGGUGGAGGUCUCGCAACCCCUACCUAUCCUUCAGUGGUUACAACCGUUUCGUCAGGCACAGCCACUAGAGGUGGGAGUUCACCGUGCAAGUCAAAAUGCGGGAAGCCUUUGUCUUAAAUCAUGGAUUUUGGGAAAAUUUCAGUCGGCUUGCAAGAUUUUUUGGAUAAUAUUUAUUACCUUGUUUUAGUUUUUACCUGUCUUUGGUCUAUGAGAUUUUUGUUCCUACGUAGUUUAGUAGCGCAUACUAAAGACCCCAUCCUCUUUCAUAUCAACCUUUUAUCUCCUUAUCAUCUGCUUUGCCUCUGAUACUUUUCCUGUCUUCAUCUCCUACCUUGGGACUAAGAAAGUACCUUGACGGAAAAUUGUCGUGACUUUUGGAACACUUACACAGCUUAUACACACAAACAAACACUUGGACAACAAAAAAUCAUUCACUGCUAACAAAGCAAUUCACCUUUCUUUCUAUAUUUUCUCUCUCAUCUUUGCGCCUCUCUGUUUAUCAGGGAGUGCCUAUUCAUAAAUAUUUUCCAGGCAAUUUCCCAGUUAUCACACUUCCAUUCACUCGUUUCGGUACUGGUAACCAUAUUGUUGAUGGAAACUUGCAUUAUCAUCGUUAAUUUAAUUAAACAAAUAUCUUCAUUCUGCUUCUCGCUCAACUUUAGUGACUUGUUAUCUCUCAGAUUCCUCUUUCUCGUCAUUUUCAAGGUGCUUAUUUUUUUAAAUAAUUUAUUCAUUUUAUAGAUUUUAAAGUUUUUAACCGCCUGAAUUAAGGAUGGGUUAAACUACAAAUAAUUCUUAAACAUUUUUUCCGUCAUAGAUCCUCAACCAUACCUGAGAAUUUUCUGAACUCUGAUCUUUGUAUUAUAAAAACCCGCUUGAAUACAGCUUUUAACAUUUUUAGAAAGCUAAUUUGAAUACAUACCAAAAUUCAUUCAUGGACCAAUUUCUUCCCCGCUUUCAAGUAAUGCAUCCUAUUUGAGCAGUUCCUGUGAAAUGCACGGUUAUAGCUCGUGCAUUUAUCUAUAAAUUUUUAUGUAAUUAAUUUUCUACGCAUUAGAUUUAGGUAUUCUAUAUAAUUGUUCCGGCUUUCUGUGAUCAUGUAAUUUAUGUUUUUCAUAUUAAGUAAUAUAGAGUCAGCAUUAUUUGUUUUCGGUGCAAACUUCCUACUUUAAAAAAAUAGAAAUAAAGGCAUUGUUCAACAAAUAUAAAUUAAAAUAAUCAAAGAUUUCAAACAAUGUACCCCUAAAAAACGUAACACACCUCCCGAAAAUCUAAUUUCCACACAUACCUAACCUGAAGAUGGAAAGAAAAAAUUAAAGAGAUGUAGAGCUACGGCUUUGACAAAAAUUACUCUAACUUCAUUACAGAUUGCCUGUAAUUCUCUCAUCUUUUAAUUUUUCCAUGGAAAUUCUUUAAUACUAUGCAGAAAAUUUAGUUUGAAGGUAUUACAUUCUCUCAUUUGUCUCCGAAUAAACCCAAAACACAAAGAGCUAGAAAUAAGCAAAACUAAAGGAUAGACAUCAAAAGCUACGCUGAUCGGGCAGUGCUAUGAAAAACUUCGAAUGAACGAUUGAAUGCUUUUGAUUUUUCCGAAUAAAUGGUCCAAAUACUCGCACGGCGAUUUAUGCUGAAAGGAACUAUCUUGCACGUAAACUAUAAGCACAUAGUUUUUUUCUAGCCUUAAUACGUCAAUACAGCGUCUUUGCUCAGUUGUAUUGAGAAAAGUGGACCCUGGACCAUUCCUCUUUAAAUGUUCAUUAAGGAUUUAAGUAUUUUCCACUUACCUAGUUUUUCUUUCAAUUAAAUUAUAAUUAAAGUACAU
rnacentral:lncRNA from 1 species